UGCAGGUUGAUUGGAGCGUUUUGAUCGAAAAACCUCACAAAGAAAUCUCAACGUAUUUCUUCCAUGUGGGGUUAUAUCAUUGUUUUCUGCAGUUCUGGGAGAAUUCUGUGAGUGUCUCGCAGAUCACCAGCCUUGAUGACUGUGUAUCCAGGAAAAAGGAAAGCUGUCUGAUCUCUGUAAACCAUUGAUCACAGACUCCUGCAGGGAAGAACAACAGGUAUCUGAGUUCAGUUGUACCUGCUGGAUAGAAAUGGUUGAUCCACAGGGUGCUGUAGCCCAGGGAUGGUCUAAAUGUGGAAGAAUUGUGAUAAAGACAAAAGACCUCAAAUGGUGCACUCGGAGAAACCUGGAAGAGGACAGACUUACAGCUAGCCCAGUAACCAUGACAGCCCCAACCACUCAAACACACCAGAAUCCAAAAGGGAAGAUUAUGACUCCUAGCUUGAGGAUGGAGAAACAGAGGCGGUGAAGGCACCUGCUGCUGGAUCAGGUGGCUGUUGUUUGAAUGCUCCUGAGUCACAAGGACCCCAUUUGAUGACACAAAGUAGUAUGGAAUGAUAGAGAUCCAGCUUCACCCUUGGAAAAUCAAGUUACUAUAAGGUAAGUUCCAUUUUGAAGAGAGAGAACUUUUAUUUUGCAAAAUGUUUAUUUUCACUACUUACUGAUGGGAAAGCCAUUUCUUUCAGGCCCACUUUAGACUGAAUUGUUAAGAUGGCAGUUCUCAUUAGACUAAUUAGUCAUAUUAUAUUUAAGACAUUUUUAACUUGUUCACUUUUCUUUGCAUUAGCUGGAUUUUCGAGAACCUAUGGGAGGGAGGUACCCAAAUCCCACUGGGAUACAACUGGAGUUGGGCACUUAACUCCUUUGCACUCCUUUGAAAUUUCCAGCCAUAAUGUCUAGAAUACCUAAAUUACGCUGUCAUUUGCCAUCAUUUCUAGUUCCCCUGGAAAUUAAGUAUGAGUACACCCACUUCCUCAGUUUACACCGUACAGCACAUUUUCACCAGUGUGCAAAGGGAAGUUUUAUCCACUGCACAACCAUACACAUCAGACUUUCAGGCCAAAUGAGCAAUGCCUCCUAGAGUGAUAUGGAAAGUGCACAGUCAGCAGUCUGUGUAUUUAUAUUGCAUUCAUAACUGUCAUCUGAUCACCCAAGUGAUGCUUAGCAGUACAGUUGGGAAAAAAAACCCUGAGUUUCAAUGGUCUUUGUAAAGUUCAGAGCUGACAUGUCAGAGUUUGGUAACAAGAGUCAAGAAAUACAUUGAAGUUUAAAAAAAAAUUAUAGUGUAACAUUUUCAAAAGCACCUUCGUUACUUAGGAGUCCAAGUCCUAGGAUGUAGGUGCCUAAACUCUUUAGAUGCUUUUGAAAAGUUCAUCCACAAGUUUUUAAUAGAAUCAACUUAGAUGUGAAGGGUCGUCGUACCCUGCACUAAGCCUGGCAUUUUCAAAGGAGCCCAAAGGAGUCACGUGCCAAACUCCACUGAAUUUUAAUGGGACUUGGGCAUCUAACUGCAUUAUGCUGCUUUGAAAAUCCCAGCCUAACAUCUCUGAACAUCAGGGAAGGACUUUCAGCUACAGUCAAAGAGCUACAGCAGAAACAGCCAGUUGAGAGACAAGGCCACUUCACCAGUUCCAAAUUCAUUCCUGCCUCACAAUGCAGAAGCCUUUGAUGUAGUCAUUGCUUUGAACGCUUGUAAAUUUUGGCCGAAGGACGUGUACUGCGCUCACACAAGAUCAUGGACACCUGCCUUUUCGGUGUGUUUUAUUAC